AGACUAAAUGUACCCGCCACGACCUAGGCAGUUCUCGAAGGCGCUCCUUGACGGGCAACGCGCACUCAAUGCUAGAGCCUCCGCCCUGCGUCCCUCCCCAGGCUCAGACCUUCCCCUGUGGCCGUCCCCCUUCUUCCCCCUCAGCUGCUGCACGCCUCCUCCCAGGCGCGGGCAGAGAACGGCAACGCCUCCCUGUCGGCACCUCCCCCUUAAGCUGCCCGAGGCCCGCCUGCGCCCGCCUCCCCAGCGGCGCGCGACGCCCAGCGCCCCGAGGUGCGGGUCGGUGUUCUCCUAGGUUGAGGUGCGGCCCGCUAGCGAGACCGAGCCCCACUGCAUUUUCUUUUAUUUCAUUUCACUCGAGGUUUUGCACAGACUGAAGUUUUGUGGGUUAGGUUAAACUCGGGACCUCCUCAAAAAGGACCCUUUUUUUUUUUUUUUUUUUUCUUUCAAAAUGGCAGCCUCCAGCCGCGCACAAGUGUUAGAUCUGUACCGGGCGAUGCUGAGAGAAAGCAAGCAUUUCAGCGCCUACAAUUACAGAACUUAUGCUGUCAGGAGGAUAAGAGAUGCCUUCAGAGAAAAUAAGAAUGUAAAGGAUCCUGUAGAAAUUCAAACCUUAGUGAAUAAAGCCAAAAGAGACCUUGAGAUAAUUCGUCGACAGAGUCUGCCCUACUCAUCUUCAUCCUCUUCAGAAAUGACCUGAGUGGCAGUGACACCUAAAUAUAUGUUUCCAGCCCACACUUCUCUCCAGACUACACCCUGAUCUGCCUUCCUCCUUGACGUUUCACCCGGGACACCAUUUAGUUGCUUCCUGUUUGCAGAGCUCAUACCAGGAACAUUUUAUAAUAUUAAGCGGCUGUGAAUAUCUAAUCACAUGAGAAACAGUUGCUGUGUAUCUACCUUCACGUGUUGGAGAAAUUGCAGCCUGAGCCUGGUAAUAAGGUCCACAUUGGCCAACUGUAUUCGACCGACAAGCUUAUUAUUGAAAAUCAAGAGAAACCCAGGACCUAGGGAGCCAGGACCAGCCACCACUGGCAGCUGUGGACCCCACCUUCAGCAUCCAUUUUGUGCUUGGGAUGCGGGCUCCCAACAGACCACAAGUGGCCUCUUUCUUACAUCAGCUUAAAAUAGCCUCUUGCUCUGCCCGCCCUGUAAGGAGCUGAUAAACUGAGUCUGGUUUCCAUUCUUCUUUAGUCUUUAGUGAAAAAGGAUGGCUGUCUCCUUGGUUCAAGUGUUCAAAUGAAGAGCUGGAGUUCGCUCCCAAUACUGCUGUAUAUUAUUGUGUCUCCUCUGCCCACCCCUUUUUGUAUCUCAUCCCUGCUUGUAUAGAGCACCUCCACACUAUGUUUCUUGGUUGACAAUAAACAGAAUUGUCUGCCUAAGUCACCUGA